GUCAGCGACUUAGUCUGACGAGCAAGCUUAAACCGGUAGGUGUAGGCGCAGCGAAAGCGAGUCUGAACAGGGCGUUCAGUUCGUCGGAUUAGACCCGAAACCAAGUGAUCUAGCCAUGAGCAGGUUGAAGGUAAGGUAACACUUACUGGAGGACCGAACCCGCAUCUGUUGCAAUAGAUUGGGAUGACUUGUGGCUAGGGGUGAAAGGCCAAUCAAACUUGGAGAUAGCUGGUUCUCCGCGAAAUCUAUUUAGGUAGAGCGUCGAUCG
rnacentral:rRNA from 1 species